rnacentral:snoRNA from 1 species
UCAUCUACUAUGAUAAUUCUUGCCUAUUCCUCUAUCUAGAGGGCAGAUAAAAAUGAUUUUUUAAGAUCGCAUGAUUCAUGAUUAAGGUCUCUGAGUGAUUUGGGCUCAAGAAAAACAAAUUUAAUUAAAUGUAAA